UGUAUUUUUUCACCGUCGCCGGCGCCAUCUUCCUUUAGUUUCCUCGUACGUAUGAGGAGGGGUCCGAUUCCUGAUGAUGAUGAUGAUGAUGCUGUUCCGAGGAAGGGGAAGGUUGUCACGACAAAACCACCACCUAUCCUUCUGGACGAGCUCAUAGCGGAAAUCCUGCUGAGGAUACCGGCGAGGUCUCUCGUUCGAUUAAGGAACAGCGUCUGCAGUUCAUGGAGAACCCUAAUUUCCAGUUCCCAAUUUGCGAAGGACCACCUUCGACGUUCAAUGGCGG